UUGAACGCUGGCGGCAGGCCUAACACAUGCAAGUCGAGCGGAUGAAGGGAGCUUGCUCCUGGAUUCAGCGGCGGACGGGUGAGUAAUGCCUAGGAAUCUGCCUGGUAGUGGGGGAUAACGUCCGGAAACGGGCGCUAAUACCGCAUACGUCCUGAGGGAGAAAGUGGGGGAUCUUCGGACCUCACGCUAUCAGAUGAGCCUAGGUCGGAUUAGCUGGUUGGUGGGGUAAAGGCCUACCAAGGCGACGAUCCGUAACUGGUCUGAGAGGAUGAUCAGUCACACUGGAACUGAGACACGGUCCAGACUCCUACGGGAGGCAGCAGUGGGGAAUAUUGGACAAUGGGCGAAAGCCUGAUCCAGCCAUGCCGCGUGUGUGAAGAAGGUCUUCGGAUUGUAAAGCACUUUAAGUUGGGAGGAAGGGCAGUAAGUUAAUACCUUGCUGUUUUGACGUUACCAACAGAAUAAGCACCGGCUAACUUCGUG
rnacentral:rRNA from 1 species